ensembl:lncRNA
CUUAUGAAGGCACUGCCUGAGUGACGGACAGGACCAGGGCGGGCCCGGGGCUGAGCGACCGGGGAGGAGCCUUUCAGGAAUUCCCUUUCCGGCUGAACACCGCGAGCUUCCCACAUUUUUCGUGCCCUAGGUGAGGGACGGCUCGCCGUUGCUGCCUGGGCUGCCACCAGCCGGCUCCAUCUCUCCGCCCGAGUGCGUCUGCCCUAGGCGAGGGCGUUGCAGAGGAGAUCAGACCCGCGAAGGAGGUUUCCAUCUUCCGGGUUUCCAUCUCGUCACUGGUCCCAUCUCAGUGAAAGCCAGCCAAGGGCGUCCACCUACCCCUGAUCUCGCCACGGGAUCGGUCCCAGGGCCAGGAAAUUCGCCUUUAGCGGCGGUCCCCGUGGCAGCCCUGGUUCGGCGUUGGUUUUGACCCGGCCCUCCUGUCCACUGUUGCAGAAACGCUUUCAGGAGUGGCCCCUGGGGCUGCGGGUCUUCUUGCGAUUCCUCCGAGACUCGCGGAGAUUCCUCCGAGUCUGCGCUUCCGCCCGGGCGCCCUCAUGCUGGCGCCGCCCGUCACCCUGCAGGCCUCAGGGUCCCGGAAUCACGGCACCCGCACCGAGCCUGCGCCGUAGCCCUCGUUACUGCUGCGGAGCGGAAGGCCUCGCUCCCCAUUCCUGGCCACGCCCCCUCUGUUCACCGGCCCCGCCUUACGCCCAACUGGCCCCACCCCCUUGGUGCCUCCGUUUCCCUGCUGUUCCCUGACCCCACCCUUACAGUGCAGUCCCCGCCCCUAAGGUUAAGCCCCGCCCACGUCUACCUUUUCCCCGCCGCUCUAUCCCAGGCCCCAUCCACCCUCCAUCUCCGGCCCCGCCCUGCAGUCAUUGGUCCCGCCCCUCCUUACCACACCUCCUCCCCCUGUUCAAGGGGCUCCUGAGGGGCUGAGAGUCUAGGUGUGCGACGCUUGGUCCAACACCUCUGCUUGCUUUCGCUCUCGGGUCCUGCGUGAAGCCGAGAGCCUGAAUGGGGAUCGUCCCGGCAGGGUAGCUCAGGUUGCCUGAAGGAGGAUCUUCCCUUGUCCUCUGGCUAUGGGGCUACUCUUUAGAACACCCUAGUCCGCAUCCUUGAGGUAAAGUGGUCCUCUUGCGGUCUCUAAAUUCCCUUGGUCAUGGGGAAGGGGGAGGAGCAGCUCCCAAGAGUAAUCAUAGCUAGUCCUGGGAGUUGGGGGUCUCCUGGAGAUCCAGGAGCCUCCCACGCUGCCUUCUCGCAGCUUUAUAUCUGUGGCCGCUAAAGUCCUGAAUGGAGGUGACGUGCGUCCUGCCCACUCUAGAGUCUCUCUAGCACCUUCCACUGAGUCCUUGCCCUUCUAGGCUCGUCUGCCCCCCAGGGACUAAGCCCCUCCAGACACUGGCUGGAGUGGGUCCCUAUCGCCUCACUGGGCUACAGGAACCCUGAUGGAUGGGUGGGCACUGGGCACACCUCAUGGAGGCAGGGCCAGGAGACCUAGAAAGCUCUGGUUCCAGGGCACAGAAGGGACCCACAGCCUUUACCCAUCAGUCCACCCCCCAUCAGUAUUCCAACACUUCCAGGCCACAUUACUGAAGUCAUGCUCUGCUCCAUUUAACCACAUCACUCCCCUUACCAUUGGGGGCGCCCCAUCUUUAAAAUAAAAUCCAAGAUCCACACCAUGGCCUAUGAGGCUCUGCUUGGUGGUCCAGCCUCUCUCCAACUCUCCCUUUUGCCCAUUACACUCUGGCCAAGAUGGCUUCUCUCUGUUCUUUGAACACACCCGUGUUUUUUUUCCUCUGGGCCUUUGCACAGGUCUUUCUCUCUGCUUGGAACUGGAUUGUAAGCCCUAUAAGAGUGGGGACUGUGUUUGGUUUUAUUUGACUCUGUAUCCCCAAGCAUUUAACCUAGUAAAUAAUAGACACUCAAUAAAUGCCAGCUGUAAUAGGUCUUAAUAAAUAAUUCUUGAAUCAACGUGCCUGAUGCUUUUCUACUGAUUUGUUCAAUCUUUACCACAGCCC